rnacentral:tRNA from 2 species
GGUCCCAUGGUGUAAUGGUUAGCACUUUGGACUUUGAAUCCAGCUAUCCGAGUUCAAAUCUCGGUGGGACCU